rnacentral:rRNA from 1 species
UACAGAGGUCUCAAGCGUUGUUCGGAUUCAUUGGGCGUAAAGGGUGCGUAGGCGGCGCGGUAAGUCGGGUGUGAAAUCUCGGAGCUUAACUCCGAAACUGCAUUCGAUACUGCCGUGCUUGAGGACUGGAGAGGAGACUGGAAUUUACGGUGUAGCGGUGAAAUGCGCAGAUAUCAGGAGGAACACCGGUGGCGAAGGCGGGUCUCUGGGCCGAAAUUGACGCUGAGGAGCGAAAGCGUGGGGAGCAAACAGG